AUUGAACGCUGGCGGCAGGCCUAACACAUGCAAGUCGAGCGGAGCGGCGGACGGGUGGGUAAUGCCUAGGAAUCUGCCUGGUAGUGGGGGAUAGCGUCCGGAAACGGGCGCUAAUACCGCAUCCUAUCAGAUGAGCCUAGGUCGGAUUGGCUAGUUGGUGGGGUAACGGCUCACCUAGGCGACGAUCCCUAGCUGGUCUGAGAGGAUGACCAGCCACACUGGAACUGAGACACGGUCCAGACUCCUACGGGAGGCAGCAGUGGGGAAUAUUGCACAAUGGGCGCAAGCCUGAUGCAGCCAUGCCGCGUGUAUGAAGAAGGCCUUCGGGUUGUAAAGUACUUUCAGCGGGGAGGCGUUACCCGCAGAAUAAGCACCGGCUAACUUCGUGCCAGCCGCCGCGGUAAUUC
rnacentral:rRNA from 1 species